AGAGUUUGAUCCUGGCUCAGGAUGAACGCUGGCGGCGUGCCUAAUACAUGCAAGUCGAACGCACAGCGAAAGGUGCUUGCACCUUUCAAGUGAGUGGCGAACGGGUGAGUAACACGUGGACAACCUGCCUCAAGGCUGGGGAUAACAUUUGGAAACAGAUGCUAAUACCGAAUAAAACUCAGUGUCGCAUGACACAAAGUUAAAAGGCGCUUUGGCGUCACCUAGAGAUGGAUCCGCGGUGCAUUAGUUAGUUGGUGGGGUAAAGGCCUACCAAGACAAUGAUGCAUAGCCGAGUUGAGAGACCGAUCGGCCACAUUGGGACUGAGACACGGCCCAAACUCCUACGGGAGGCUGCAGUAGGGAAUCUUCCACAAUGGGCGAAAGCCUGAUGGAGCAACGCCGCGUGUGUGAUGAAGGCUUUCGGGUCGUAAAGCACUGUUGUAUGGGAAGAACAGCUAGAAUAGGGAAUGAUUUUAGUUUGACGGUACCAUACCAGAAAGGGACGGCUAAAUACGUGCCAGCAGCCGCGGUAAUACGUAUGUCCCGAGCGUUAUCCGGAUUUAUUGGGCGUAAAGCGAGCGCAGACGGUUGAUUAAGUCUGAUGUGAAAGCCCGGAG
rnacentral:rRNA from 1 species